rnacentral:rRNA from 1 species
GGUGAACGCUGGCGGCGUGCCUAAUACAUGCAAGUCGAGCGGAAAGACGAUGAGCUUGCUCCUUUGACGUUGGCGGCUGACGGGUGAGUGACACAUGGAUAACCUACCUAUCUGUCGGGGAUAACUUCGGAGAACCGGAGCUGAUACCGCAUCAUAUAUUGAACCGCAUGGAUCAAUAGAGAAAGACGGCUUUGCUGUCACUUAGAGAUGGUUCCGCAUCGCAUUAGCUAGUUGGUAAGGUCACGGCCUACCAAGGCGACGCUGCUGAGCCGACCUGAGAGGGUGAUCAGACAAACUGGAACUGAGACACGGUCCAGACUCCUACGGGAGGCAGCAGUAGGGAAUCUUGCACAAUGGGGGGAAGCCUGAACGAGCAACACCGCGUGGGUGAAGAAAGGCUUCGGGUCGUAAAACACUUUUAUUGGGGAAGAAAAAAAGGAGAAGAAAACAUCGACGUUUUGACGGUACCCAAAAAAAAAGCCACGGCUAACUACGUG